CCUACGGGAGGCAGCAGUGAGGAAUAUUGGUCAAUGGGCGUAAGCCUGAACCAGCCAAGUCGCGUGAGGGAAGACUGCCCUAUGGGUUGUAAACCUCUUUUGUCCGGGGAUAAAGGUGGCCACGUGUGGAUGUUUGCAGGUACCGCAUGAAUAAGGCACGGCUAAUUCCGUGCCAGCAGCCGCGGUAAUACGGAGGAAGCGAGCGUUAUCCGGAUUUAUUGGGUUAAAAGGGUGCGUAGGCGGAAUAUCAAGUCAGCGGUAAAAAUUCGGGGCUCAACCCCGUCGGGCCGUUGAAACUGAUGUGCUUGAGUGGGCGAGAAGUAUGCGGAAUGCGUGGUGUAGCGGUGAAAUGCAUAGAUAUCACGCAGAACUCCGAUUGCGAAGGCAGCAUACCGGCGCCCAACUGACGCUGAAGCACGAAAGCGUGGGGAUCGAACAGGAUUAGAUACCCCUGUAGUC
rnacentral:rRNA from 1 species